AUGGAGCAGGAGGUCGCUGGUGGAUCCAUCACGGCGGAAUGGGCGUCGCUUCAGCGGGACCUCGUCCAACUCGUUGCCGACUGCGUCCUCUCCACCAGCGGCGUGGACGGGUACGUGCCCAUGAGGGCCGUCUGCCCCAGCUGGCGCUCUGCCGUCGCCAAGCCAUCUCCGCACGCCGCGGUCGCCGACCCCCGUUUCCGCCCGCGCCAGUGGGUCGUGCUCCACGGGGCGGACGACGACCAAGCCCGGCCCCUCUUCCUCGACGUCUCCACGGGGCGCUUCCGCCGCCUGCGCCGCCCGGUGCUCGGUGACUACAUCCUCAUCGGUGCAUCCGACGGUCUCCUGGUCCUCGGGGACAGGGAGCGCCCGCAUGCCGCUCGUCUCCUCAACCCAUUGACUGGUGACAUGCUUCCCUUCGCAGCGCCGAUACCUCCGGAAGAUUGGGUGAACACUGCAAUCGUUGGCUCUGAACCAACGAUUAUCUUCGCUUUCGAACCGGAACAGAGCGAGUACCAAGAUAUCCCGGCUUAUUGUUCUUUGCAGCAAGGCAGUGACGCCGUUUACUCUGCUGAUCCUACGGGCCAGCUCCGUGCAGUGAAGUUCCAUGAUGCUGCUUACGACAAGGAAAACUUGCUCUACCUUCAGAGCAUGGUCACCCAUGCAGGCAAUGUUUACGUGCUCAUUUGUGGAGGAACUUUGUGCAAGGUUGUUUGGACCGGUGGCCACUGGUAUGCAGAGCUGAUAAUGGAGAUUGACAUGCCCAAGCACUGCUACACUGGUUGUCUCGUGGAAUUUGCCGGUAAACUGCUGCUUGUUAAUGAUAAAGUCGAAACAAUUGAACUUCUCUGCGUGGAUGUCAACCGCAAGGUACUUGAACCAAUCCAAAGUAUCGGCAGAUGCGCUCUCUUCCUAAGUGUUGGCAAGUGUAUGGUUGUUAACGCAGAUAAGCUUCCUACAAUCAUGCGCAACUGCAUCUACAUGAAUUUUAAUGAUACAACAUACGUCUGUAUGACCUCAGUGAUGGUAGGAAAACAUACAUCACCAACCCCCGGCUGCCUGCAGAUGGUCCUCGAGCUGAAAGUGAUAUCAUUCAUGAAAGCCCUUUGA
rnacentral:rRNA from 1 species